rnacentral:rRNA from 1 species
CCCUUAGAUGUCCUGGGCCGCACGCGCGCUACACUGAGUGUCUGAGAUACGAGUCUGCCUGGUCCGGCAAGGUCUAGGUAAUCGCUAAAAGACACAUCAUGCUUGGGAUAGAUUAUUGCAAAUAUUAAUCUUGAACGAGGAAUUCCUAGUAAGCGCAAGUCAACAGCUUGCGUUGAUUACGUCCCUGCCCUUUGUACACACCGCCCGUCGCUACUACUGAUUGGAUGUUUAAGCGAGGUUCUCGAACUGCUAGCGACUUAGCUUCGGUGAGGUCGCAGUGUUGGAAGUGAACCUAGCUUUGGUGUCUAGAGGAAGUAAAAGUCGUAACA